CCUUUUCAUACUAUCAAUUUUUAUUAUUGUGACUUUUUUACAAUAUUCAGUUCAAAUAUAUUUUCAAUUAAAAUCUAUACGAACAAAAAUGAUGGAAGUAAAAUUUGGAAAACUAAUAAAUAAUUGAAUUCUCAUAUAUAUAUUUUCAACCACCUCAAUACUUUUCAGAAUGGUGCUGCAGAAAAGCGAAGAAGAAGGGUGGCUUGGCUUGAAAUCUUUAUCGCUUCAUGGUUACGAAUUGAGUGGGCACCAAUUAAUGAAUCCCAUCAACAAGACAGUGAAGCUUAAUUAAUAAUACUAUCACUCUACACAUAAAAAUAAAAUAAAAUAAAAUAAAAUAAAACAAAAAUCAAACUCGUAAAUAUCCUUGAUGGAACAUAAAAUCCAUGGAGGUUUUUAUUUAGAAAAACAUUAGCGAAGUAUUUUAUUUAGAAAAUACAAGUGCAAAUAUUAUCUUGUAAAAUGAAAAACGACUAGAUCAUAGAGGUUUUUUUUAGCACACAACUUUUAUAACACCAAUAUAAAUUAUAAAAAAAAAACCCUUCAAAAGAAAUUUAUAAAAAAAGAUUUACCUUAUUUCUCAAUGCAAUGGUACACUACAUAAGUGUAGAAAAUGGCAUUACUUGUGAGAAAUUCAGCAGAUUUAGAAAAAACUAAUUAGAGAAGAAAAAAAAGGGGUAGAAAAUGGAGAAGAGAAGAAAAGAAAUGGUUUCGACGAU
rnacentral:lncRNA from 1 species